rnacentral:miRNA from 1 species
CGUCUGUGUGUGUGUGUGUGUGUGUGUGACUGCCUCAACACUCCACCUACAGAACACGCACGCGCGCACACACG